rnacentral:rRNA from 1 species
UACGUAGGGUGCGAGCGUUAUCCGGAAUUACUGGGCGUAAAGCGUGCGUAGGCGGAUUUUUAAGUCGAAUGUUAAAUAUAUGGGCUCAACUCAUAUGCUGCAUUCGAUACUGGAAGUCUUGAGAGUGGAAGAGGCAGAUGGAAUUCUCGGUGGAGCGGUUAAAUGCGUAGAUAUCGAGAGGAACACCAAUGGCGAAGGCAAUCUGCUGGGCCACUUCUGACGCUAAGGCACGAAAGCGUGGGGAGCGAUCGGG